rnacentral:rRNA from 1 species
UACGUAGGGGGCAAGCGUUAUCCGGAAUUACUGGGUGUAAAGGGUGCGUAGGCGGCAAUGUAAGUCAGGUGUGAAAGCCCAAAGCUCAACUUUGGGACUGCACUUGAAACUAUGUAGCUAGAGUACAGGAGAGGAAAGUGGAAUUCCUAGUGUAGCGGUGAAAUGCGUAGAUAUUAGGAGGAACACCAGUGGCGAAGGCGACUUUCUGGACUGUAACUGACGCUGAGGCACGAAAGCGUGGGGAGCGAACAGG